GAAUUGGAAGAGGCUACCUUGAAUGCAGUCCUGUCUUCCAUCAGGCAGUAUGCAUUGCUGCAUUGUUAAAGAUCUGCUACUUCCGUUGAUGCAUGCCUCAUUUGGGAGGUACUACAGGUUCAAGAUAUACUUUUGUCCAUACAACAGUAAGAAAAAAUAUUCUUUGAGAUACCUGGAUUCCCAGUGCAAGGAAAUGUUUGAGGAAUCCUGUUAUUUAGCAAGAAGAAAAACUUGCAGUUACCAUGUCACAACAUAUGAUGAAGACCCAUAG
rnacentral:lncRNA from 1 species